GUAUAAAGUGCUGUGCUGUGCUGUGCUGUGUUGUGCUAUUGUAUAAAGUGCUGUGCUGUGCUGUGCUGUGGUAUAAAGUGCUGUCUGUUUUUAUGUAAGAGAGUCACUGGCCAAGGAUAAUGAAGACUCCCCUUAUAACCACAUCCCUCCUUAAAGGUCCAUGAAGGUGCCACUGCCAAAACAAAAAGGCUGGAUGGCGGAGUGGGCGGCGGGCAGAGGUCGACACGAACGAGGCGACAAGUUUGCAAGCUGGCGUGCGAGUGUGUCCCACGAGAGAGGGCGAUAAGGGAGAGUGGGAGAGGCGCAGGACUUGUGGAGUUUUCUGCUGUGACAUCCCUUCCAUGACCAAUGACAAAUGGUCUUCCCUUCUGAGUGUCGGACGUCAGGUAAGCAAAAAUCACCGGCAGCUUCCAAAGUCAAGACGAGCGUAACAGGUCUCACAACUUCACAAGUGAUGAAGCGUACCAUACGUCGGACAAGGACUUCACUAAGGACGAGGCUAUCCACUCGAGUACACCAGCGGCAGCGAAAGAAGACGGCAGGUGUAAUAAGCAAACAACGAGCGUGGAGAGAACGGAAGAAACCAAUCACGGUGCCGCAAAAACGGACGGGAAAUAAAGAUUGGAUAAAAACGUCGAUCAGAAGUAUUGGGGGAAUCACGGGGCGCGUUGACUCCCCUGGGGUGACGAGGGGAGGGAGACAAGUUGAGAUAGGAAGCAGGUUGUAAAAAAUUGCUGUCACCACUCGUGGAGAGAGAGGUAAGGCAGGAGUCAAAUGUCAGUUCAAGGAAUUUACUGGAAGAGCUGCACUGUAAAGACAAGUGGAGAGAGGUGGGGGCAGGCAUCACCAAUACUGUAUAGGUGUGGUGUGCAGAUCUCUUGUUGUCUGAGGUUGCUCCUCGUCGUGCCUCAUUCUCACUGCACACCUGCCGCACCUACAUCCACUCAGCCAGUCAUCGUCCUACUUAUUCCCACUGGUUGAGGUAGACCCUGUCUCUCCUGUAGAUCUGGACCUGGUCAAGAAUAGUAAUAAAUGUAUCAAUAAAAAAAUAAGUGAUGCA
rnacentral:misc_RNA from 1 species